AACCUGAAAGCUUGUCUCUGCUGCAGUUUUUUCCCUUUCCUUUGCCGAUACUUUGAGUUUGCAGAUUUAUUCUACUGUUGUUGUUGUUGUUUCUUUCCACUGAGCACUUUUUGAUUUUAUUUUGACUUGCAGUGGGGGAGGGCACUGCUUCUGGAUAUUACAUGCCAUCUGAAGCAUAAAUUGCUAAACACCGUUACGUGAUGUUUUCAGGUGAGAAGGCAAUUUUAUACUUCACAGUUGGGCCUGUUGAGGCAUUUUCAUACAGAGAAUUUUUCCAUCCUAGACUCCUAUCAAGAUGUCUGGGAAUUUGCCGCCAGUGGAAGGUUUCCCCACUGUCUGCAGCCUCCUGGCCUUCUUGCAGGGCAUUCCCACUCGACCUGCUCUCCUCCUGAGUACCGCCAUGUUCCCCUGGGCUUCCAGGGCCUCCCGCCAUGGUGUCCAUCAGGUCCCUCACAUUCUUUGUUACCUGCCUGGGCCCACUGUCUAUGACCUGAGCCACUUGGUAAGUAAUACCCUUACUGACCUGCCUUAGACCCUAACCUCUCCUCUUGCCCCUCCUUCCAGAUGAUCCAGGGAUCAUCCUACAAUCCACCUUCUCUGCUCCUGACUCCGUACUGCUGAGAGAAACUGGAGAAAACCCCCAGAAGCAUCCACUGAGGCCACCACAGAUUCACAGUCUCAGUCCUCCCCUGGAUUCUCAGCACCUUUUGACAAGCGUUUUACCUGUCUUCAGUCAGCUCCACUCCCACUAAAAAAACUCUUCCUUGGCUCUGUGUCUCCACUCACGGAGGUGUCCUCUUCUUCCUUUCAGAGCUUUUUGAAAGCAGAUUCAACACCAGUGGCUUCCUUAGCUCACUUAAGUAGCUUUUACACGUUCAGGUUCCCUACCCCAUGCUAGAGCAAUGAAUGGGAAUCUCUAGGGUGGGCCCAGGGUUCCAUAUUCAAAAGCUGCCUUACCUGAGGACCACUACACUCCCUGACUCUCUCACCUCACUUCCAGUUACUCCUCCAACUGUCACAGUCUGGCUUCUAUCCUAACCCUCUGUGAAAUGGGUCAGCAGUGAGAGCCAUUACAGCGCAGGCGCCCUUCCCAGGUCUCCCCAGCUGGACCUCUCUGCAAUACUGAUGCUGUUGGUCACUCUAAGAUUUCUGGACAUCUUUUCUCCUCCUUCUUCCUCUAACCAUCUUCCUCCACACCUUUAGUGUGAGCCCUUCUUGCACCUUAAAUAUGAAUGAUAGUUACCUCUGGUUCCCCUACGUUUAGCCCUCAGAUCACUGCUCUUCUCAGUCUACAGUUCCUCCCUGGGAAAUCCACAUAGCUUAAACUACAAAGCACAUGCUGAUUGAUACUCCUGCUCUCACUUCUCUCCUAACAUCGUACCCAUCCAUCCAACUGCUUGCUGGACAUCCCCACCUGGAUGCCCCAACUGACCCUCAAAUAUCCCUGAGACCAGAUCCAUAGUUUUCCCAGAUGACCCGUCCUUCACCUCACCCCUAUGCUAGCUCCACCUCCUUCAUUCGCUCUACUUAAUAUCUCCAUUUCUCCUGCCCAGGAGCUGCCCUGGAAACCUAAGAGUCAUCCUAAAGCCUUCCUGCUUCCUCAUCUACUACAUUCAGAAAAGCAGAAAUGUAAUUGAGGAGAAGACACAGGAAGGAAAACAGGGGUUCUUGCAGGGAACAGCUCAGUAAAGAUGUGCUAUGCUGCUUGCAAACUGGAAAAUACACAUGUGCAAAUGUUUCUAAUAAGAAGGACCAUAUUUUAAUAGGAGUAUUUUAAAGAUUCCCAGCAGGAGAUGUGAAAAGGGAAUCAGGUGAGGGCUUUUACUGAGUGAAUGCUCAAAAACAAGGUAAAUCAGUAGUUCUCAACUGGGGAUGAUUCUGCCCCACUGGGCAAAUUUGACGGCAUCUCGAGACAUUUUUGCUUGUCAUGACUGGGGGUGGGAAUGCUGCUGAGGAAACAGUUGUGGGGAGAGGCCAGGGAUUCUACUAAACACACUACCAUGCCCAGGACAGCCUCCUGACCUCUGCAGCAAGUAACCGCCUGGCCCACAAUGUCAAUAGUGCCGAGGCUGAGAAACUCUGAACUAGGCUAAACUGAAGGCUCUGUGGGUUCCUGAGAAGGAAGUACACAGAGAGAGGCAGAGCAUUCUCGGUUAACUUAAAACAAAUUCUACGGUUAGAAAGACUCAGCUUCACAAAAUCAAAUGGAGUCACCCUGAGGAGAAAGGCCAAGAUGUUAGACACCAUAAGAAUCGACGUCUACACAUGACAGAAAUCUGGCUGAUCUACACUACCAGGCGCCUCUGUUUCUGAAGAGCUCACUAGGGCAGGAAGAAAAUGAUUCAACAUGAAAAUCACACACCAAAUAAAUUGAGUCUGAGAUGUUAGGAAGAAGCCUGGGAGCCAUCAACAGGUGACUGGAUAAAGAAGAUGUGGUAUAUUUAUACAAUGGAAUACCACUCAGCCAUAAAAACCAACAACAUAAUGCCAUUUGCAGCAACAUGGAUGCUCCUAGAGAAUGUCAUUCUAAGUGAAGUAAGCCAGAAACAGAAAGAAAAAUACCAUAUGAGAUCGCUCAUAUGUGGAAUCUAAAAAAACAAAAACAAAAACAAACAAACAAACAAAAACAAAGCAUAAAUAUAGGACAGAAAUAGAUUCAUAGACAGAGAAUACAGACUUGUGGUUGCCAGGGGGGUGGAGGGUGGGAAGGGAUAGACUGGGAUUUCAAAAUUAUAGAAUAGAUAAACAAGAUUACACUGUAUAGCACAGGGAAAUAUACACAAAAUGUUAUGAUAACUCACAGAGAAAAAAAUGUGAC